GACGAACGCUGGCGGCGUGCUUAACACAUGCAAGUCGAACGGAAAGGCCCUGCUUGCUGGGUGCUCGAGUGGCGAACGGGUGAGUAACACGUGGGUGAUCUGCCCCCUACUUUGGGAUAAGCCUGGGAAACUGGGUCUAAUACUGGAUAGGACCAUGCUGUUGGUGGUGUGGUGGAAAGAUUAGUUUCGGUAGGGGUUGAGCUCGAGGCAUGUCAGCUUGUUGGUGGGGUAAUGGCCGACCAAGGCGUCGACGGGUGGCCGGCCAGAGUGGGUGGACGGCAACAUUGGGACUCCGAGACGACCCAGACGCCUGCAAGAGGCAGCAGUGGGGGAAAGUGCACAAUGGGCGCAAGCCGGAUGCGGCGACGCCGCGUGGGUGGUGACGGCCUUCUGGUUGGAAAGACCUUCCGGCCAUGACGAAGCCCUUGUGGUGACGGUAGUGAAAGAAGAAGCACCGGCUAACUACGUG
rnacentral:rRNA from 1 species